CCAUUCGUAACUUUUGGGAAUUACGUAAUUGUCAAUAUAAACCGAAAAUUAAACGAGGCUUACUUGAUUUUAUAUAAUGUGGUUCGAACUAUUACCUAGUUUUGGCAUAAUAACAGUUGCUAUGGCACUUCCACAUGCAUCUGCAUAUAUUCUUAAUAACCUUGUAGUAGGAAAUCGAUUUAGAAGGAGUAUGCAUACAAUGGAUCAAAGGCGACAGUAUUUAAGAGAUAGACGAUUAACUGGGGACCCAUAUAAAGUGCAAGGCUUAGAAGCUAUACCAGAUGCUUAAGCGAAACACAAAUUUAUUUAUCCUUAUAGAUAAUAAGGUUAAACAUAUGUUGAAAAGAAAACAUUAAUGAUAGGUAAAUGAAUUCUAAUGUAGAAUAUUAAAAUUCUGUAAUAUAUUUAUUCCUCAAA